rnacentral:rRNA from 1 species
GAGAGGCUUCCGCAAUGGGGGAAACCCUGACGGAGCGACGCCGCGUGAGGGAUGAAGGCUUUCGGGUCGUAAACCUCUUUCAGGUGGGAAGAAAGGUGUGCGGGUGAACAAUCCGCAUGCUGUGACGGUACCGCCAGAAGCAGCUCCGGCUAACUCCGUGCCAGCAGCCGCGGUAAUACGGGGGGAGCAAGCGUUGUUCGGAUUCAUUGGGCGUAAAGGGCGCGUAGGCGGCUUGGCAAGUCUGACGUGAAAUGUACCGGUUCAACCGGGGCGCUGUGUCAGAAACUGCUUUGCUUGAGGUCGAGGGAGGAGAGUGGAAUUCCUGGUGUAGCGGUGAAAUGCGUAGAUAUCAGGAGGAACGCCCGUGGCGAAGGCGACUCUCUAUCUCGAUUCUGACGCUGAGGCGCGAAAGCUAGGGGAGCAAAC